UUCGCCCUUAGAGUUUGAUCCUGGCUCAGGACGAACGCUGGCGGCGCGCCUAACACAUGCAAGUCGAACGAGCGAGAGAGAGCUUGCUUUCUCAAGCGAGUGGCGAACGGGUGAGUAACGCGUGAGGAACCUGCCUCAAAGAGGGGGACAACAGUUGGAAACGACUGCUAAUACCGCAUAAGCCCACGGGUCGGCAUCGACCAGAGGGAAAAGGAGCAAUCCGCUUUGAGAUGGCCUCGCGUCCGAUUAGCUAGUUGGUGAGGUAAUGGCCCACCAAGGCGACGAUCGGUAGCCGGACUGAGAGGUUGAACGGCCACAUUGGGACUGAGACACGGCCCAGACUCCUACGGGAGGCAGCAGUGGGGAAUAUUGCACAAUGGGGGAAACCUUGAUGCAGCGACGCCGCGUGGAGGAAGAAGGUCUUCGGAUUGUAAACUCCUGUUGUUGAGGAAGGUAAUGACGGUACUCAACAAGGAAGUGACGGCUAACUACGUGCCAGCAGCCGCGGUAAAACGUAGGUCACAAGCGUUGUCCGGAAUUACUGGGUGUAAAGGGAGCGCAGGCGGGAAGACAAGUUGGAAGUGAAAUCUAUGGGCUCAACCCAUAAACUGCUUUCAAAACUGUUUUUCUUGAGUAGUGCAGAGGUAGGCGGAAUUCCCGGUGUAGCGGUGGAAUGCGUAGAUAUCGGGAGGAACACCAGUGGCGAAGGCGGCCUACUGGGCACCAACUGACGCUGAGGCUCGAAAGUGUGGGUAGCAAACAGGAUUAGAUACCCUGGUAGUCCACACCGUAAACGAUGAUUACAAGGUGUUGGAGGAUGACCCCCUUCAGUGCCGCAGUUAACACAAUAAGUAAUCCACCUGGGGAGUACGACGGCAAGGUUGAAAACUCAAAAGGAAUUGACGGGGGCCCGCACAAGCAGUGGAGUAUGUGGUUUAAUUCGACGCAACGCGAAGAACCUUACCAAGUCUUGACAUCCUGCGACGAUGCUGGAAACAGUAUUUUCCUUCGGGACGCAGAGACAGGUGGUGCAUGGUUGUCGUCAGCUCGUGUCGUGAGAUGUUGGGUUAAGUCCCGCAACGAGCGCAACCCUUACUGUCAGUUACUACGCAAGAGGACUCUGGCAGGACUGCCGUUGACAAAACGGAGGAAGGUGGGGAUGACGUCAAAUCAUCAUGCCCUUUAUGACUUGGGCUACACACGUACUACAAUGGCGUUAAACAAAGAGAAGCAAGACCGCGAGGUGGAGCAAAACUCAGAAACAACGUCCCAGUUCGGACUGCAGGCUGCAACUCGCCUGCACGAAGUCGGAAUUGCUAGUAAUCGUGGAUCAGCAUGCCACGGUGAAUACGUUCCCGGGCCUUGUACUCACCGCCCGUCA
rnacentral:rRNA from 1 species